rnacentral:rRNA from 1 species
GAUGAACGCUGGCGGCGUGCCUAAUACAUGCAAGUCGAACGCAUAGCGAAAGGUGCUUACACCUUUCAAGUGAGUGGCGAACGGGUGAGUAACACGUGGACAACCUGCCUCAAGGCUGGGGAUAACAUUUGGAAACAGCUGCUAAUACCGAAUAAAACUUAGUGUCGCAUGACACAAAGUUAAAAGGCGCUUCGGCGUCACCUAGAGAUGGAUCCGCGGUGCAUUAGUUAGUUGGUGGGGUAAAGGCCUACCAAGACAAUGAUGCAUAGCCGAGUUGAGAGACUGAUCGGCCACAUUGGGACUGAGACACGGCCCAAACUCCUACGGGAGGCUGCAGUAGGGAAUCUUCCACAAUGGGCGAAAGCCUGAUGGAGCAACGCCGCGUGUGUGAUGAAGGCUUUCGGGUCGUAAAGCACUGUUGUAUGGGAAGAACAGCUAGAAUAGGAAAUGAUUUUAGUUUGACGGUACCAUACCAGAAAGGGACGGCUAAAUACGUG